rnacentral:piRNA from 1 species
UACUUUGGGAGGCUGAGGCGGGUGGAU